rnacentral:piRNA from 1 species
UAAUGGGAGGUACUGAGAAUGCAAAG